AUGCUCGAUUUGGCAUCACAUAAUCUAAAAUUAUGAUAUAGAGAAGAUUAGCAUGGCCCCUGUACAA
rnacentral:snRNA from 1 species